rnacentral:rRNA from 1 species
UACAGGGGGGGCAAGCGUUGUUCGGAAUUACUGGGCGUAAAGGGCUCGUAGGUGGCCAACUAAGUCAGACGUGAAAUCCCUCAGCUUAACUGGGGAACUGCGUCUGAUACUGGAUGGCUUGAGUUUGGGAGAGGGAUGCGGAAUUCCAGGUGUAGCGGUGAAAUGCGCAGAUAUCGGGAGGAACACCAAUGGCGAAGGCAGCUCGCUGGGACGGUACUGACGCUGAGACGCGAAAGCGUGGGGAGCAAACAGG